rnacentral:rRNA from 1 species
UACGAAGGGGGCUAGCGUUGCUCGGAAUCACUGGGCGUAAAGCGCACGUAGGCGGUUUGUUAAGUCAGAUGUGAAAUCCCCGGGCUCAACCUGGGAAUGGCAUUUGAUACUGGCGAGCUAGAGUGCGGUAGAGGGUGGUGGAAUUCCCGGUGUAGCGGUGAAAUGCGUAGAGAUCGGGAGGAACAUCUGUGGCGAAGGCGGCCACCUGGACCAGUACUGACGCUGAGGUGCGAAAGCGUGGGGAGCAAACAGG